UCGGGGAUGGGGAGGUGAGUCAGUUUUCAGCUGGCUGGUCUCCGGCUUCUGGGAGGCAUACACUAAUUAAAGGAAUCAGUAAGUGAAGCAAAGAUGAUCUCUAGACAGGGCUGUGAAGUCAUCAGUUUACUCAGAGACAGGGAGUAGGUGCUAUGAAGAUAGAUAAAGAGUCAUUUUACACAGUCCCUGCCGUCACUAAUUCAUAGUCUGGGCAGGAAGCUAAUGAGCAACGUAAUAAUUAGAAGACGAUGCCUGGUCGCGUACUCUUAAGCCCCAGGGUGCCAGGUGCACUGUGGUUCACAGGUUUGUGGGGAUCACUAGUCAAGAGGAGUUCAGGAAGAGUUGGGAGUCUUUCCGUGAAAGAUGGCAAGAAUUAAAGAGUGUGCAGACAGGGCGGCGACGCUGAGAGAGUUCCCUGUCCCGCGCUCCUGCAGCUGUGAGGUGAGCCAGAGGUCGCUCUGGCCCGGUAGGUUGACAGCUCAGCUAAUCAGCCCCCGGUUCCCAGGCCUAUCGCUGGAUGAUCGACUCCAGAGACGACUUCACGGAGGAGCGCCUGGCCAAGCUGCAGGACCCCUUCUCCCUCUACCGCUGCCACACCAUCAUGAACUGCACCAGGACCUGUCCCAAGGGGCUGAAUCCAGGGAAAGCUAUUGCUGAAAUCAAGAAAAUGAUGGCAACCUACAAGGAAAAGAAAGCUUCCGCCUAACUCUUCUCAUGCUAACCAUGACCUGUAACCAGCUCAGCUGGACAUAAUUUAUAUCUAAUUUGAGUUUCCAUGAUUAUAGCAUGUAAAAUAAAGUUUUAAGAAAAAAAUAAAUGUUAUUCUACUUUAUUAACCAAAAA